rnacentral:snRNA from 1 species
AUACCUUGAACCUAUGAGUAAGGAAAAAUAACAAGUGGUGUGACACCUGAAUUCUCACCGCUAAUGUGAAACAAAUUUUGAAGCAGAUAAAGUUUGCCCCUAAAGUGACUCACCUACUUUGUAGGAUGCCUGGGUUUAGCAGUCUGCCCA